AAUAGAAGCAAACCUAUCAGCAACCUAUUGACCUGAGUGACACCCAUAAGUCUAGAUACUUAAACUCAUCAGGUGGAAAUUAAGGAACUUACUGUCCUUUUUCAUCUCUUUGUUUCCCCAACUGACUUGAAGAACCAGUGAGAAGACAACACACAACGUCCUACAGUAUGCUGAACACACAGACUCGACUGGCAAACAGAAGGCAAUGAUGUAGUUUCAAAACAGCCAAUUCAAAUGGACAGAAAAAACGUUAUCAUCCCAACAUGAUGGAUAACAGCCGGGCCAGC